rnacentral:lncRNA from 1 species
CCUAGCGCGCUCGCCGAAGCCGCUUCCCACGGCGGACUGGGGUCUAGCUCUUUCCUUUUAGUGGUCUGCCCUUUUCCCCGCCUCCCCACCCGGAGGAAGCCCUGGAGGCUGGAUCCCGCGGGGCGGCUUCCCAGCCGCCGGCGUCCGGGGACUGGAGGCGCAGGGCACACCCGGGCAGCGGGCGCGGGGUGCGGGCUGCGCUCCCCUGCGCGCGGGAGUCGCGGAAGGAGAAGGAGCUAGUGAGUUUCUUCUCGCCUCCGGGGCCCCGUCAGCGCCUGCACUCUGCGGCGCUCAGUAAAUAUUUGUUGAAUGAAUGAGCAGUGCGCUCCGGAGCUCACCCCAGAACUUCAACAGACACCACAAGAGCCGGAAGCCCGGCUCCAGCGCAGACGCGUUCUGGAGCCACCGGGUGCAGCUUUGAAAGCAGGACUUUUGGCUACUGGUAAAUAGGGAACUGGUGCAAUGGAGAAGGGCGCUUUAGAAGUAUCAAGUCGUUUCCUAGGGGAUCCUCUGUGGGGAAAUUAUGUAAAAAGCCCUAAUUUGGAAAUCCAGUAUUCGAAAACACCGGGACUCCUCCCCAGCUGAAGGAAUGCAGAUUUUCACGCUCGGGAGAAAAGUCCGCCCAGCACUCCCUUUUCCAACUGGCUAGCGGCCCCGAGAGCACCCCUGAGGAAAAGAGGCCCGGGCACAGCCCAGUGCGUCUUCCUUCACUCCUAUUUUAUCGGUGACUAUCCAAAAGCAAGGACUGCGCAUUGGAACCGCCUUAGGCUGCAGGUGGCGCCCUCUCUGGCUCCCUUCCACUGCCCCCUGGAGAGACCUGGAGAAUGAGAAGAUGGGGUAGUUGUCCUGGCUGUUCCUUUGCUGCCUCGCACUUAGAAGGAAAGUUGGGAACAGAGUGAAUAGCCAAUAAUUUCACUGUCUGAGAAAAUACCUCUUGCAAGAAAUUAUAUUGUCCUUGGAGUCUGUAGAGAUUUUCUUGCCUAUUUGGAGCAUGGAAGGAAGAAAAACAUGUAGUAAAGGAUAUUUACACAUGAGCGGAGAAUUAGUGCACUUUGGUGAUUUUUUUUAAUGUGUGUGUGUGUGUGUGUG